rnacentral:rRNA from 1 species
AAUCAACGCUGGCGGCGUGCCUCAGACAUGCAAGUCGAACGCGAAAGUCCCCUUCGGGGGACAAGUAGAGUGGCGCACGGGUGAGUAACACGUAGGUAAUCUACCUUCGGAUGGGGAAGUAACAAUCGGAAACGGUUGCUAAUACCGCAUAAUGCAGCGGCACCUAAUGGUGGACAGUUGUUAAAGCGGGGGAUCGAAGACCUCGCGUCUGAAGAGGAGCCUGCGGCGGAUUAGCAGUUGGUAAGGUAAUGGCUUACCAAGGCGACGAUCCGUAACCGGCCUGAGAGGGCGGUCGGUCACACU